AUAUACAAAAGAAGAUGCCAAGAAAAAAUUGUUAGAUGCUAAUCUUCAUAUAAAAGAUCAAGAUGAUUGUGAGAUUGGAAAAAAAUUAAAUGAUAGUG